GUUGUAUGUUACCAUCAUUAAGUUGGGGACUCAUGCAAGACUGCCGGUGACAAACCGGAGGAAGGUGGGGAUGACGUCAAAUCAUCAUGGCCCUUAUGUCCUGGGCUACACACGUGCUACAAUGGCCGGUACAGAGUGAUGCGAAGCCGCGAGGCGAAGCAAAACGCAUACAGCCGGUCUCAGUUCGGAUUAAGUCUGAAACUCGACUCCAUGAAGGUGGAUUCGCUAGUAAUCGCGCACAGCAUGGCGCUGUGAAUACGUUCCCGGGCCUAGUACACACCGCCCGUCACACCAGCCGAGUCGGGGGUACCCGAAGUCAGCAGGCUAACCUUCAUGGAGGCCGCUGCCGAAGGUAUGCUAGGGAAGGGGGGUGAAGACGUAACAAGGU
rnacentral:rRNA from 1 species